UCAUUUUAGUAGUGUCUGUAAUAAAAUUUAGAAUGAUAAAGAAAAGAUUUACGUGGCCCUUGGAUAAAGAUGACGUGCAAAUUUAUGAACUGUUUCUUAUUUUU